AUAGCCCGUGGUGAAUGUUGUCUGGGGGAAUCCAGGUCAGUCCACUGGCUGUAGAUGUGAUGUCAGGAGACCAUGUGUGAGAAGACAGCCCUCAGGAAAGCAAAGGAAGACAGAGGUGCCAGCCUCCCUCACCUGUCUCCACCUGCAGGUUUACAGGAGCCGCUGUCUCCAUAUGCGAAGGGGCCUACUUUGUGGCUCAGCUGCUGGCCAUCUGCUUCCAGUGUCAACCAGGGUCCCUGGCAGACAGAGUAAGGGAGAAAGCCCACUGGCUGGGCUGCUUCCAGAAGUUCCUGGCCUACGUGCUGCUGUCGGUGGCCUGCUUCCUCCACCCGGUCCUGGUCUGGCACGUGACCAUCCCAGGCUCCAUGCUCAUCAUCACCGGCCUGGCCUACUUCCUUCUGAGCAAGCGAAAGAAGAGGAAAGCUGCCCCCGAGGUGCUGGCCUCCCCAGAGCAGUACACAGACCCCUCCAGCAGCGCUGUGAGCACCACCGGUUCUGGGGACACAGAGCAAACCUACACCUUCCAUGGGGCCCUCAAGGAGGGGCCCAGCUCCCUUUUCAUCCACAUGAAGAGUAUCCUGAAGGGGACCAAGAAGCCCAGUGCCCUCCAGCCCCCCAACACCCUGAUGGAGCUGAGCCUGGAGCCAGCCAACUCCCUGGCCAAGAAGAAGCAGGUGCAUUUUGAAGACAAUGUUGUCCGCAUCGUCCCCUCCCUUGCCGAAGGUCUGGAUGAUGGGGAC
rnacentral:sRNA from 1 species